UGUUGUAUACCUGAAAAUUAAUAAAAGAAUACAUUUUAACUGUUCUCACCAAAAAAAAUGAUAAAUAUGUGAGAUAAUGGAUAUGUUCAUUAGCUUGAUUCAGCCAUUUUACAAUGUAUCCAUAUAUCAAAACAUUACAUACAUUAUUUGUCAAAGAAAAUAAUUUUUAAGUAAAGAAAUAGAAUUUUGAUUUAGUGUAAAUAGGAAAUGACUGUAUGAAAAUAUGGAAUAGUGCAUAUGAUUUAGGGAGAACUACAAUAAACAUAGGCAUUUUCUUGACUUUGAAAUUAUAUUUUGAAACAAAAUUAAAAGCUACAUUUAUAGAGCACAGGUAGAGUAGAUUUAGCCUAAUUCUUAAGGGCCAUAGAAUUUCUGGAAUGGCAAAUGAGCAUUGGCUUCAACUUAGUCACCAGCUGCAUUAGCCCCCACAACAUUCAUUGAUUAGGUUUUCCAUCUUAUAUGGGUGCAGUUUGUGGCCCCAAAAUGAUUGCAAUAGCAACAUCAAAGAUCAUAUUAGUAUAAUAAUGAAAAAAAAUUGAAAGUCUUGCAAUAUUGACACAUCAGUAUUGCAAUGUCUUGCAAAAUGUGACACACAGACAUGAAUUGAGCAUGUGCUGUUGGAAAAAUGGCACUGAUAGACAUGCUUGGUGCAGGGUUGCCACAAACCUUCAAUUAAAAAAAAACUAUUUUUUCCAAGCACGAUAAAGCAAAGCACAAUAAGAUUAUGUAUGCCAAUAUUCUAAAACAAACAGGAUGGAGGAGCAUCUAGACAUUCUGUUGGGGAGGGUUUUUGUUCAUCUGGUUUAGUCUUUCUUCCUUAGAGAUGAGUAAGCACAGGAAAAAUAAACAUUUCCAAAGUCAGCAAAUAGUGUUUGUCCUAAUAAGCCCUAAUAUAGACAAAUGGCCAUAACUUCAGUCAAUGAAUUAUCAAGUUAUAAACUUAAAAAUAUACACAGAAACAAUCUAGUAAUUUGUCGAACCGUGAAGGAGACUGACUGCUUAAUGGACUUUAGUCAUAAUAUGUUGUAACCCUAGAUUAACUGAAAUGGGUGAAAUGGAUAUGUAUAUAUAGAAUAAGUUUGUGCAAAGAGAAGAUAACCUGGUUUUCAACUUCUUUGAAAACAUGUUUUAGUAUAAUCUUUGUGCAUCGUUUAGUAAGUAUAAUAUAUUCUAUUAAGUUUCAUGUUUGUCUUAUGUAAUGAUUUGGAAAGCACAUCCAGGUCUUUCAGUGUCUCGGGCUCAUCCUUCUCAUACUGUUUCACUUCAUCCUGUGUGGUCAGUGUAGAAGGUUAUCAGAGCAGAAUCUGUACUGCCCUAAGAACAAGUCUGGGACUUCCAGAGCAUCUUUAAAGUAAGUUCCUAGUAUCAGUUUAUUUGGCUUUUGCCUCUUUUUCUAAAAGUAAAUUAUAAUGUUAAAAUUCCAGUUUAAUUAAGGUAUGUUUACUGAUGUUAUGGGAUGGCUUACUUUAGACUCAUCAAAUUCUGUAAAACUGGAAAAGAAAUUGAAAGGCCUUAAUUCUUACAGCUUUUACUCAAGGAAAUGAGCAAAUCUAGCACCAUUUACAUUUGAGUUCAAAUAGGAAUAAGGUACUAACUUUAACCUCAAUUGUUGAAUUAUACCAUUGAUUUGUUGGAAUCAUGGAUCAGUGGGAACUUUUCAAAUUAAGAGGGAAUUCUUUUCUGUUCCCAUCUAUGUCAAAACUUGUAUAUAUUUCUAUGCAUUCAGACCCUGCUUCUCAAUUCACAGAGAAAUGAACUUAAAGUUUGGAAAGGAAGCAUGAGCAUGCUUCACAGUUGUUUUCUUUGUAAAGCACUUAGUACAAGACCAGAACUAAGAGGUGCUCAAUGCUUUCUUAUUAAAUGUAUCUUAUUGGUAUGGAAAAAGGUGUCCUAGCAAACCUAUUUAAAAAAAAAAAACUAUUUAUUUAUUUAUUUAUUUUGUAGAGUCUGGGUCUCGCUAUGUUGCCAGGGCUAGUCUUGAACUCCUGGCCUCAAGCGAUCCUUCUGCCUAAGGUUCCCAAAAUGCUGGGAUUACAGCAUAAGCCACCACACCUGGGCAGCAAACCUAAUUUUGAGCCUAACAUAACACCUGUGGGAGUUAAGCAGGAAAGAAUUAAGAAUCCCCCCACCCUUUUUUUUUUUUUUUUUUUUUUUUUGAGGCAGGGUCUCACUUUGUUACCCAGGCCGGAGUGCAGUGGUGUGAUCGUGUUCAUAAAGGAUAUUGGCCUGAAGUUUUCUUCUUUUAUUGUGUCUCUGCUAUGUCUUUGGUCACUCUGGUAAUGAUGAGGCAGAUGCCUUGGCCAAGUUCAGGUGGUUAGAGUUGGCACCUAUAUGAGAUGUAGCCUUGUGGCUACACAGGAAACUGGGACAAGCGGGGGUUAACUGAUGAAACAGGUCAGUAGGUGCUGGCAUCUGUCUUUGCCCUCACAGGACAUUUUGGAGGCCUGCCAGUAGUGCCCAGCAUGUGCU
rnacentral:lncRNA from 1 species